CAGGUUGCUUAGUGCACAGGAAAGCCUCACAGCGUCAGAAACUAGCAAUCUUGGAUUCUGCUUCUCAGAAGAAUCCUGCCUUAAAUGCUUAAGCAAAAUUCUGCUUUAAAUUAGCCUGUGAUCUUGGGCAAGUCUCUGUAAUUUUCCUGAGAAAAUUCUGUUUCUUCAUCCACAAUGAGAAUAGGAAGUCCAGUCUAUUUAUUUCUACGUUAUGGUGUUAAGAAGGUGCUGGAGCCCGGGGCCUGGACAGGAGUGGGCAGUGCGUCUGGAAACACGAAGAGCUGGAGCGAGCGCAGGGUGGCGGUAGCGGUGCCGGCGGGAGUAGAUCCCAGCCGGGUAUUCUGGGCAGCCUCGGGCGACAGACUGUGCUCUCUCCACCAAGCCUUCUGCAGGUCCGGCUGCCCUGAGCUGCCCCAAGCUAGGUGACAACAUGUCCCACUGCCACCGUGGACUAGGUGUGUGUCGUGAAAGAAGGUUGUUUCCACGAGCGCAGUGAAUCCAUAAAGACCUGGAGUGAUGGCUCCUCGCUGGAUGGAAGGAGCGCCGGAGCCCCCGACCAGGCCCUGCCCCCUCUCAACAACUUCUUUGUCGCAGAAAGUCCCUGAUGAAGACCAGGAGACGGUGCCCAACCCUUUUGUCAUACGCUGCCUGCAGUGGACCACAGUCAUCCAGAGGACCAUCUACGUGGACUCGCCAGAGGGAGGAGAGUUGAAGAUCAGCUUUUGAGACCAGAGUUUUGAGCAGAGACCAAGAUAAUUCAGCUGCCAGCUACAAAGUACUACAGCAAGUGCCCGAAACACUACUCAUUUUUGCAUGGGAAAAUAUUUCUGCCAAACCAAGUCUUCGGGCUACCUGGAACACACUGAGAAGGAUACUGAAGAAAUGCUGAGCUCUGCUGGAGAGAUUAUCUACUACCAAAGUCUGUCAUGGACACAAAAAGAAAUUUUGACCAAGAAAGCAGAUGUGAGAAAUUGAAGAUGGCCUACAAAGGAUUUAGAGAAAAUAGAGGAAUGACUGACGUUUGACUCUGGAGAUGGUGGUGCUGGUAGCUGUAAAAGAAGUGAAGGCAUGGAAAUAAAAGAUCUAAGUAGAAGCAGGCACACUAGCUCCAUAAACAGAUGAAAGUAAGACACAAAGAUGGCCACCAAUGGCUUUACCACUUACUAGCUGUGUAACAUUCGUCAAAGACCUUAACAUCACAAAACUAUGAUCACCUCCUAUUAAGAUGGGUACAAUCAUGCCUACCGCAAAGGAUUGUUAUGAACAUUCAAUGUAAUAAUGAUUAACAAGUGCUUAAAACACGGCCUUGUCUCUGGUAAGUCCUUACUAAAUUAUUAAGCUAUUAGGAUGAUCACCACCACCAUCAUCAUCAAUGUCAUUAAGACUAAAUUGCUGCUGAUACAUUUAGGUGACUAUCUAGCACAAAACAGGCAAUUGUUAACUUCCUUCUUCCUAACAUCCUAUAAAGGCAGAGUGUUUGCCCAUCAAUGCACACACAGAUAAAACAAAAGCAAUGUGACAACAAAGCUCAGUGGUGUGAAAAUGAAGACAGUGAAAGAGACAUCAGGGAGAUGGAGAAGUGAGAAUUACAAACAUCACAGGCACACUAUACAUUAUUGGCUUUCAAUCAUUUGGGUCCAGAUUCUUUUAAGAAUCUGCAGAGAGCUCUGGACUCAGAUGUCCAUAAACAAUAUGUUUUUCUACAAGAGUUCUUCAGAAACAUGGCACCUGACACAUGGCAAAGCAGUGGGGGCUGAGGCUCAGUCUUCCAGACAGCAGUCCCAGUCUCCCUGGGCUCCAGUGCUGACCCCACCUCCUCUGGGUUCUCCUUUGGCUUGUUACCGAACAGGUCUCAACUUCUCGUCUCACACAGAUACAGGAUGGCUCUUUCACUUUAGUGAAUCUGAGAAGGAAUACGGUAUGCUCCCAUUCCCAAUUUCGACUAACCAGAGCAUCUCACACACUAGUCAUUCCUCAGAAUACACUUUGAGAAACACUGUAUAAGAUUCUUUUCAGAUAUGGGUAGAACUGUGAGAGAAACUACAUAGUCUGCUAAAUCCAGCUAUAGUUUUGAGGGAAUAAAUCUACCAAAUUCCUGACUGUAUAAAUUCAAAGAACGGUAUAAUUUUCCGUAAGAAAUACACCAUGGGGUAUAUAAACUAAAGAUGGGAGGGAAAUGCCACUCUGGCUGAAGGUAGCAGAGGUAUAUUGAUAAAUAUGGAAUAUUUUUUGCUGGACCUAAAAACAGAGAAAGGAUUUUGAGAUUUUUACAGGUGGCAAAUUUGACAGUUUCUAUAGGUAAGUUCAAGGGUAUCUGAGGCAAAGGGAGUGUCAUGAAUGGAGGUAGGUGAAAGUUUUCAGGAAUUUUCUGUCAUAUUAUUUGAAAGCAGGUCAAGGUAGUCAAUACAGUUAUGGGCAAAUUUAGGUGGCUUUGAUUACCAGGCUAAAUUUAUUCAUUAGACAAUAGGUAGUGACUCAAUCAUGGCUGGGUGUAAGAAGAUGUAACAGGCAGUAUUUCAUAGAAUGGCUAAGAGUGCGGACAGGGAGGGGUAGAAACCAAAGAGAGAGAAGGCAGGAAGCUGAUCCAUUAUACAGGAUAGAGAUGACAAAGCCCUAAGCCAAAGUGUAGAAAAUGGAAAGAGAGUAAAGGAAAUGGCAGAUGCUGUGAAAGCAAAACCCAUAAAUAGGGCUUGGAGAACAUCCGAGUCUGUAUGAAUAGGAAAGGGAGAUGGUCAGGGAAAAGAUAACACAAAAAGUCUAAGUUACGAUGACCAAUAAAAUGAUGAACAGCCCAGGGAGGAGGAUAUCAAUUGAUACAAAUAUCUUUACUAGGGAUAAAGAGAUGUGCUUUAUUACCUUGGAAUUCUCCGGCUGUGGCCACCACCUCUCCUAAUCAUCUCUUUCAGUGUAAGAGUCUCAUAUUCCAUGUACGCAGUCGCAGUCCAAGACUUCUGAAUGGCAUUGAUAGCUUUCACAAAGUUGUGGUUAUAUUUGUAGAGCCUAUUAGAAUACCUGCCAGCAAAAGUAAGACAGCUUCAGAUACACUCUUUACUGAUGUAAAUAGAUCCCGUUAAAAUAGGCACUCUUAUACUGUGGGCCUGAGUGGAAAGUGGUAUAAUCUUUCAGGAAGGCAACUGGAUAUGUCAAUCUCUGUAUCUCUAUCAAUAGCCUAGAAUUGGAAUGUGUCCUAUGAAAAUAAAAGUUCAAGUGAACUAAGAUGUAUGUAUAAGGAUGUUCAGUGAAACAUUUUUAUACCAGUGAUAGAUUAUAAAUAUAAAUAUUCUAAGGUAAGGGAUGGAUUAAAUAAAUAAUGGUACUUCAUUUGCUAUAUAGUUUAUUCAGUAAAAAUAUCUGGAAGAUUAUUUAGUGAUAUGGAAGACUUCACACUAUAUUAAACAAAAAAGCAGAAUAUCAAAGAAGUUUAUAUAGAAUUAAUCAAUUUUUGUGAAAGUGAACAUUUAUAUUUAUACCAUAAGUACAUACAACCAUGGUUAUCUCUGAGUGGUGACGUAGGAUCAUCACCUUUCCCCCACCCUCUACAAUUUCUACAAUGUACCUUUUAAACUUUGUAAUAAUAAAAAAUAAAGGCGGAGGGGGGAGGACAGCAAAACUGUAUACAAUAUAUAUAUAGCAUGGCAAGCGUUAUAAUCACAUGAUGGAAAAAAAAAAUGGUUCCAUAGGGACAUUUGGUUUAUAUCCUUGUUACUCAAAUUUGGUUCUUGAGCCAGUAUCAGCAGAAGCACCUGGAAGCUUGCUAGAAGUAUCCAACCCAGGCCACCUGAAUCAGAAUCUACAUUUUUAACAAGAUCCCCAGAUGAUUCACAGCAACAUUAAAAUCUGAAAGGCACUGGUUUACCUGAUGCCAAAUGCUUGGAUAUAGAUGUAAACAAGUCUAACACACAAAGAGCAUGUUUACAAAGCAAGAGAACUGAGGGAGUUGAUUAUUCAUUUAACUUAAACAUGUAUCUCACGUAUGUGCCAGGUGCUAGGAAUGAACAGAAUUCACCAUGUUAUUUCUACUAAAAAAGAUUCUGGCCCCGGAGCAGCUAAGCCCGUGAGCCACAAC